AUAAAAACACAAGGGUGUCGAGUAGCUUACUUGAUCUUGUACACAAAUCCACUAAAGAUUAAUGCCCAAGAUCUCCCAAGUUUCUCCCAGUAUAUGUUGUGUUCAUUGAUCUGCUAAUCAUGAUUGUGCAAUGGGUUCUUCUGUGUUAUUGAAUGUCAUAAUUGGCAAGUGUGGUCAAGCGACUCUUGUGUCAGCGCCAAAGUUUCACAACUGGAACUCUCAUGUAUACUAUGGGCAAGCUUCUUAUAUCUCAAGAGAAAACCAUCAUGAUAUCUGCUCCAAGAAACAUAAGUUGUGGGCAAAAUGUACUAAAAGGUAAUGUAAAUAUAUUUAAUUAAUUUCAUUUGUACAUUCCUCUAUGUUUUUCUUGAAAAAAUUAAGUCAUCAUGUAGGUUACAGACCCGUGGUCUUAGAUGAUGACAUGAUGUAUUUUUGAAUUUGGAAAUGCAGGACUCCUUUUGCAAGUAAUCCAGUCCUUUGUUUUAUUAUUGUAGUAAGCAUAAUUGUUACCUUUUCGUAUUUAUACGAUUGUCUUCUAUUAAAUCUGAUAAUCUAAACGAAAAGUUAUAAAACAUACUCUUAUUUCCAAUUUGGAACAUUAUCGAUUUAAAAUUUAUGCAAUGUUAAAGGGAUACUGUUAAAGGGGUGCAUCAGGGUAACUUUAGCUCCAGCUCCGCCCCUGUCUAGAUACAGAUGACCAUACAAGUUUUCUUGGCUAAGCUAGCUUGCCAUACAAGUUUCCUUCUCCGCUAAGCAAGCUUACCCUACAAGCAAAUUUCACUACUAAAAAACUUGUCAUGCAAGUUUGCUUCACUACUAAGAAACUUGCGAUGCAAGUUCCUUCCGCUCCAGGAUAUCUCAUAGAUAAGCUUUGAGAGAUGAAGUAACUUGGUGACUAAGGAGUGUAGCAAACUUAUGAAGCAAGAUUUCUUAUGGGCUAAGGAAUGGAUGGCUAUAUAUGGUCUCCUUUUGGGAGAGUUUGAUAAAUAAAUAAAAACACAAGGGUGUCGAGUAGCUCACUUGAUCUUGUACACAAAUCCACUAAAGAUUAAUGACCAAGAGCUUCGGAGUUUCUCCCGUACAUGUUGUUUUCGUUGGUCUGCUAAUCAUGAUUGUGCAAUGAGUUCUUCUGUGUUAUUGAAUGUCUUGAUUGGCAAGUGUGAUCAAGCGACUAUGGUGCCAGCCCCAAAGUUUCACAACUGGAACGAGGUGUGAACCUCGGAUAAUGUAUAACUCAGACGAUAUAUUGUAUUUUGGCUCAUCUAUUUUUUGUCUGCUUUUUUGUUGCGGAAAUUGAGAGCAUUUAUUAAAUAAAGAUGGUCAUGGAGUCAUCACCCAUGAGGCUAGUGACCAAGAAGGAAGGAGCUAAGUUAGGUCAACCCCCACUCGGCUGAAGCGAGCAAGAAUGCUCCGCACACAAUUGGACUGGGAGAUUGGCAGCUCUGUUAACAUGUUGAAUUACAAACGAAUUAGCUGCAAGAGGGGCCUGCGACAAUACGACCGAUCCUUCCCUACCUCUUCCUUCUCGUCACAGACAUUCUCCAUCGGUUCAUUGCGCGGGAUCCACUACCCCGACAGCCCCUAGCUGACGACGCCUCAUGUCCCCUGAGUCAAUACACGGAUGACAUGCUCAUCAUCACGAGAGCUAGCGUCGAGGCAACGACUUGGAUGAAGGCGAUCAUGGACAGGUUCUCCAACGCCAUCGUGCCCAUGAUCAAUUUCAGCAAGUACGGUGCCAUGGUCCAGGGGUGCCACUGGACACCGUAACUCAACCCAUCAGGCCGACGUAGGCCCCCCAUGCUAAUAUUGGGCCCCAAACUCUAGCCUGGCUUAUGGGCUCUCCAAGAAGAAGGAUAUCGGCAUUUGUGUCAUACAAGUCAAGGAGACCGGACCGACAUUGGACUCCUCCAAUCACCAUAGAUCGCUUAGGACUCUAUAGCCCUAAUCAUGUUGCUGAUAGCCGAGCAAAGGCUACUUUCCAUUCCAGAACAUCAUCUUUUUGCAAUUCAAAUCCCCGAACUUUAUUUCAUCACAACUUGUAAAUAGCGUUGCUAUUAUACAGUGAAUAAAGUCCUAUUCCUAUAAACGAAAAUAGCUAAUUGACACCAUUUACACAUGUUGUACAAAAUUAUUUAUUUAUUAUUGGGAAAGACCACGGAUUUUUUUAACAGAUGAAAGACCAUGAAUUGACUAUUAUUUAUUUGCGUCAUUGGAAAAUUUUGCUGUGCCGAAGGUUUUGCAAGCGUUGGAGAAAAAGAAAGAACCGAACAUAAUACAGGAAGAGUUUUCAAAAUUUCUAUUGCCGUUUAGUUAAACCUUUUUUCACUCACUGGAUGUGAAUGCUCGCGCUGAGUUACCCAUGAGAGCCAUCAUCACUAGUUCACUACGUACAAAAACAAGGUGAAAGUUCCCAUAUACAGUUAGCUGCUGAAACAAACAUAGGUAAACUAUAUAUCCUAUCCAAAGUAACACUGUUUCACAUCGGUAAAUACACCGGCUCAUUUGCACAUUUUUGUUGAAACUAUCAUGAGGGAAAGGCUCCCCACCUGAAUAAAUUUUUAUUUUUUGUUUUUGUUUUUACAAACUAGACAAGGCGAGAAGUAAAGAAGUCUCGCCACAGACCGGUGUGAAUUUUGUCUUCCACCUUCCUAAGGCGGUGAGACCACAAAGUGAGGUCCACGAUGAUACCCCUAAUUACAUCAAGGGAAGCAACAAGAACGUUUCUAAAAGUUUUGGCAUUUCGAGCAUCCCAAAUUUUCUAGAUGAUAAGCAGGAGAAUAAAAGGUCACAGAGACAUAGGGAGACCCGGAUGUCCAUGAGAGGCCCAGAGGUCCGCAAUGGGGGAGGAGCAUGGUUGGAGGCCAAUGGCAUCCCAAACUGCACGAGCCGCUGGACAGUGAAAGAAGAGGUGGGCCCGGUCUUCGGGCGCUGCCGCACAUCGAGGACAGGCAGCGGAAAAUUUGCACAUUUUGAAACAGCGGCAUCACAUCUACGAGUGAUUAAACAGUUUGUGGUUUCGUAAACCUGAUCGCAGGCACCCACCAGGAAGCAAGAACCUAAACUUGUUUGCGUUCUUGACCAAAUAGGAAGGCAGAUGCAUGGCAGACGCUGAGCUGGGUAUGGCAGUCCCUGGGCUUGGUAUGCCGCGAAGGAAAUCAGAUAUGAAGCAAGAUUCGCAAGAACACAAUGAUUUGAUUCUAAUUUCUAAAAUAAAUACCUGAUAAUUGGCAAAGAUGACAGUAAUAUACUUCUAAUCCUAGACAAACAUGUUAGAAGUGGCAGCAUCAUCACCUAUAGAUAUUAAAAUCACUUUUACUACUGGGAGCUACUAUUUGUAUUACAAAACAUCCCACUAACUUCAGCGCCAAAUGUGGUUUUAUGUAUGUAUCAUGACUGUUUAGUACUUUUACAACGCUUAACGUUCUACCAGUCUGGAUCAAAAUACUAAUGAAAAAAACAGCUUGAAUAAUUUGAAUAGCAGAGUGCAAAACUUGAUACGGGAUUUUGCAAAAGUUCAGUUCACACAUUGCUUCAGAGAAGCAAACACUGCAGCAGAUGGCUUAGCUAAACAUUGAUAUAAUUCUAGAUCCCCUAGCUUUUGGGACGUUUCUAUCCCUUAUUUUAUUUCCCACCUUUGAAAAUGACCUAUCUAUUAUAUGAGAAAUAAAGUCGUUUUGCUGUCAAAAAAUAUUUCAUUUUUUAUGUAUGUGUAUAUCAGUAUAUAUGCAUACAUAUACGCUGAGGGAUCCUUCAAAAUUACUGGUGGACAUUGUAAGCUUUCUUUGCCUUGUUUCAAAAAAAAAAUUGGGAAUGAUAAAGUCACAUAGACGGGAAUAACAAAGUCACAUAGUCUACAAGGCAAACCGAAUUGUGCAGAGUACCAAGACAAGGCUCCGACGUUGAGCAUAAAUAGAUAAGUAAGGCAUAAUAAAUGAACCUGGCGAACGAUUAGGGCAUCUGAUUUGCAAGUACCUACUCAUCUUUGUUUCCAGGAAACUAAUCAAGUAGGUAGGAUCCAACGAUGGCAGUGACUAGCUAUAUGGUGGCCUUGCCAAGGUUGAACUUUGUUUCCCCGGUGAGAAUCGCCUUGCACUUCAUGAUGGUGACCGUGGGUUCCUACCGAGUCGCGAUGUGGCGUCUGCGACGAACCUUGGUGGCAGAGUCCUUCACCCUCUUGGCGCGCCCGCAGUGCUUGCGCAGCUCGUACUCGCCCAUGUAGGAAACUCGCCCAUCCAGCAAGGCGUGUAUGGGAAAGAUGUGUCUGUCUUUCCAUAUGGUGGUUCAUCGUAAACUGCUCCCAUCCAUGGCCUUGAACUGCCCAAGUCCUGAAAUUUUGAGAUGUUUCAGUCAUAGGCCAGUCCUCUGGUUGUUAUUGCAGAUGAAAUCAAGAAGACAACCUCCUUGUAAGGAUGAAAUCCAAGGAGGAAAUAAUCUCCAUCGGCGUCUUCAGCCUCUUCAACGACGUUUUCAGUGUCAAUAACGUUAUCCUCACCAGAGUUCCAAUCAUAUUUCUCUUCCACGGUCGCUUUGUGAUUCUCGGGAUCUUCAGAGCACCACUUACGGUAGUUAACAUCUUGUAAGAUCCAUUGUCUGCCCACUUGUUGAG